GCGUCGUGCCUUCAAUUCCAUAACGAGAAGGAUUUUCGCCUUUUACUAAAAUACCUCCGUGAAUUGAAGGUUGUUAAGACAGCUUUCACUAUUUUUUCGAAUAGGUUUUUCCUAUUAA